rnacentral:rRNA from 1 species
GAUGAACGCUGGCGGCGUGCCUAAUACAUGCAAGUCGAGCGAACAGAUGAGGGGCUUGCUCCUCUGACGUUAGCGGCGGACGGGUGAGUAACACGUGGAUAACCUACCUAUAAGACUGGGAUAACUUCGGGAAACCGGAGCUAAUACCGGAUAAUAUAUUGAACCGCAUGGUUCAAUAGUGAAAGACGGUUUUGCUGUCACUUAUAGAUGGAUCCGCGCCGCAUUAGCUAGUUGGUAAGGUAACGGCUUACCAAGGCAACGAUGCGUAGCCGACCUGAGAGGGUGAUCGGCCACACUGGAACUGAGACGCGGUCCAGACUCCUACGGGAGGCAGCAGUAGGGAAUCUUCCGCAAUGGGCGAAAGCCUGACGGAGCAACGCCGCGUGAGUGAUGAAGGUCUUCGGAUCGUAAAACUCUGUUAUUAGGGAAGAACAAAUGUGUAAGUAACUAUGCACGUCUUGACGGUACCUAAUCAGAAAGCCACGGCUAACUACGUG